rnacentral:rRNA from 1 species
UACGUAGGGUGCGAGCGUUAAUCGAAAUUACUGGGCGUAAAGCGUGCGUAGGCGGUUCGUUAAGUGCGUCGUGAAAGCCCCGGGCUCAACCUGGGAAUGGCGAUGGAAACUGGCGGGCUGGAGUAUGGCAGAGGGGGGUGGAAUUCCGCGUGUAGCAGUGAAAUGCGUAGAGAUGCGGAGGAACACCGAUGGCGAAGGCAGCCCCCUGGGCCAAUACUGACGCUCAGGCACGAAAGCGUGGGGAGCAAACAGG